rnacentral:rRNA from 1 species
UUAUGUGAUCGUCUCUCGCAUAUCAAUAAGCGGAGGAAAAGAAACUAACAAGGAUUCCCCUAGUAACGGCGAGUGAAGCGGGAAGAGCUCAAAUUUGAAAUCUUAAAGGGUUUCCCUUUACGAAUUGUAGUUUAAAGAAGUGUUUUCUGUUGAGGUUUUGGUAAAAGUUCUUUGGAAUAGGACAUCAUAGAGGGUGAGAAUCCCGUAUUUGACCUUUACUUUCAACUUUGUGAUACACUUUCAAAGAGUCGGAUUGUUUGGGAAUGCAGUCCAAAAUGGGUGGUAAAUUUCAUCUAAAGCUAAAUAUUGGCGAGAGACCGAUAGCGAACAAGUACCGUGAGGGAAAGAUGAAAAGAACUUUGAAAAGAGAGUUAAACAGUACGUGAAAUUGUCAAAAGGGAAGCGUUUGACACCAGUGUUGUUUUUCUGAAAAUCAAUUAAAGAACUGUUUAUGCUAAGUUGUUUAGACUUUAUCAGCUAACUGUUUAGUUUUGAGCUUUUCUUUAAUGCACUUUUCAGUUAACAAGUCAACAUCAAUUUCUUUUGCUGUAAAAAAGCUUGAGGAAGGUGGCUUGAGAUUCGUCUUAAGUGUUUAUAGCCUCUUGCCUAUGCAGUCGGAGAGAUUGAGGUCUGCAGCGUAGAUCCUUCGGGGCUAAAUGCAUUUGUGCUAAGUUAUAACAUUUUAUAGACAACUUGUUGACUAUGAUUUGUCUUGUAGCUUACUCGCUUAUGUUAUUUUACCUACGCUUAGGAUGUUGAUCUACAGAGCGAGAGU